CAGUGUACUAGAAUCUGUAGGCAGGACGCACACACGGAACGAGACCGGGCUGGCGUUGCUUUUUUAUCCGGUCUGCAUCUUGGAGGUGCUGCUUCUAUUGUUCUUGGGCCAGCUGUCACCUCUCAUGACAGCGCCACUAUGACUGUUCAUGCCAUAAGCACCUUUGUGACCUGAUGUUGCAGGAAUUUGUGUCACCGCAUCACCAGCAAAUUAUCAAGCGCCAUCAUUUUCGCUGCAUCCUCCACUGCCAAUUCUGGAUGGUUCUGCAUUCAGUCCAGCAGCAUGGAACAGUGACAGAUAAUCAAGCAGCUCAUAAGCACACCCAUAUCUUCGUUGCAUGAGGCUAUAGCACUACAGUCAAGAUUUUAUAAUGAUUGUUAAUGUUCUUCCACGUUAGUGAGUGUGAAACAAACCUGUACCACGUAGAUGAUGUUCACUUUGUUGUCAUUAUCUAGUUUUAAAUUUGCUUUUGACAUCGCACAUUCAAAACAGCCUUCGAAAG